GACGAACGCUGGCGGCGUGCUUAACACAUGCAAGUCGAACGGAAAGGCCCUGCUUUUGUGGGGUGCUCGAGUGGCGAACGGGUGAGUAACACGUGAGUAACCUGCCCUUGACUUUGGGAUAACUUCAGGAAACUGGGGCUAAUACCGGAUAGGAGCUCCUGCUGCAUGGUGGGGGUUGGAAAGUUUCGGCGGUUGGGGAUGGACUCGCGGCUUAUCAGCUUGUUGGUGGGGUAGUGGCUUACCAAGGCUUUGACGGGUAGCCGGCCUGAGAGGGUGACCGGCCACAUUGGGACUGAGAUACGGCCCAGACUCCUACGGGAGGCAGCAGUGGGGAAUAUUGCACAAUGGGCGGAGGCCUGAUGCAGCAACGCCGCGUGCGGGAUGACGGCCUUCGGGUUGUAAACCGCUUUCGCCUGUGACGAAUCGUGAGUGACGGUAAUGGGUAAAGAAGCACCGGCUAACUACGUGCCAGCAGCCGCGGUGAUACGUAGGGUGCGAGCGUUGUCCGGAUUUAUUGGGCGUAAAGGGCUCGUAGGUGGUUGAUCGCGUCGGAAGUGUAAUCUUGGGGCUUAACCCUGAGCGUGCUUUCGAUACGGGUUGACUUGAGGAAGGUAGGGGAGAAUGGAAUUCCUGGUGGAGCGGUGGAAUGCGCAGAUAUCAGGAGGAACACCAGUGGCGAAGGCGGUUCUCUGGGCCUUUCCUGACGCUGAGGAGCGAAAGCGUGGGGAGCGAACAGGCUUAGAUACCCUGGUAGUCCACGCUGUAAACGGUGGGUACUAGGUGUGGGGUCCAUUCCACGGGUUCCGUGCCGUAGCUAACGCUUUAAGUACCCCGCCUGGGGAGUACGGCCGCAAGGCUAAAACUCAAAGGAAUUGACGGGGCCCCGCACAAGCGGCGGAGCAUGCGGAUUAAUUCGAUGCAACGCGUAGAACCUUACCUGGGUUUGACAUGGAUCGGGAGCGCUCAGAGAUGGGUGUGCCUCUUUUGGGGUCGGUUCACAGGUGGUGCAUGGCUGUCGUCAGCCCGUGUCGUGAGAUGUUGGGUUAAGUCCCGCAACGAGCGCAACCCUUGUUCACUGUUGCCAGCACGUUAUGGUGGGGACUCAGUGGAGACCGCCGGGGUCAACUCGGAGGAAGGUGGGGAUGACGUCAAGUCAUCAUGCCCCUUAUGUCCAGGGCUUCACGCAUGCUACAAUGGCUGGUACAGAGAGUGGCGAGCCUGUGAGGGUGAGCGAAUCUCGGAAAGCCGGUCUCAGUUCGGAUUGGGGUCUGCAACUCGACCUCAUGAAGUCGGAGUCGCUAGUAAUCGCAGAUCAGCAACGCUGCGGUGAAUACGUUCCCGGGGCU
rnacentral:rRNA from 1 species